rnacentral:rRNA from 1 species
UACAGAGGUCUCAAGCGUUGUUCGGAUUCAUUGGGCGUAAAGAGCUCGUAGGCGGUUUGUCGCGUCUGCUGUGAAAACUCGGGGCUUAACCCCGGGCCUGCAGUGGGUACGGGCAGACUAGAGUGCGGUAGGGGAGACUGGAAUUCCUGGUGUAGCGGUGAAAUGCGCAGAUAUCAGGAGGAACACCGAUGGCGAAGGCAGGUCUCUGGGCCAUAACUGACGCUGAGAAGCGAAAGCAUGGGGAGCGAACAGG